GCUGGGCAUGGUGGCUCAUGCCUGUAAUCCCAGCACUUUGGGAGGCUGAGGUGGGUGGAUCACCUGAGGUCAGGAGUUCGAGACCAGCCUGACCAACAUGGUGAAACCCCAUCUCUA
rfam:Pan troglodytes isolate Yerkes chimp pedigree #C0471 (Clint) chromosome 4, whole genome shotgun sequence.